CCGACUCGGGGAGGUAGUGACAAUAAAUAACAAUACAGGGCCUACGGUCUUGUUAUUGGAAUGAGAACAAUUUAAAUCCCUUACCGAGGAUCAAUUAGAGGGCAAGUCUGGUGCCAGCAGCCGCGGUAAUUCCAGCUCUAAUAGCGUAUAUUAAAGUUGUUGCAGUUAAAAAGCUCGUAGUCGGAUUUCGGGCUCGGGCAGGCUGUCGGCCUCGGUCGGACGGCAGGCUCGGGCCUUUCUGCCUGGGGACUCCGUCACACUUAACUGUGGGGCGGUUGGACGCAGGCCGUUUACUUUGAAAAAUUAGAGUGUUCAAAGCAGGCCUACGCUUGAAUACAUUAGCAUGGAAUAAUGGAAUAGGACUUUGGUGCUAUUUUGUUGGUUUAUGGGACCGAAGUAAUGAUUAACAGGGACAGUUGGGGCCGUUUAUAUUUCGUUGUCAGAGGUGAAAUUCUUGGAUUUACGAAAGAUAAACUUCUGCGAAAGCAUUCGGCAAGGAUGUUUUCAUUGAUCAAGAACGAAAGUUAGGGGA
rnacentral:rRNA from 1 species